UGUUGUAAUUACCAAACCACAGGGAACAUUUAUUUACCAGAAAAAUAUAAUUGUCCAAAACUUAAAUGAGAAUUUCUCACCAAUUUAUAGUCAAUGCUAAAAGUGAGUAGGCUAUUGUGAAAUGUACGGGGCCUUGCAUUAAAGCCGCUUACAGGACAUUCAAGAAAAGUCAGAUAGAUGCGUAAUCUUAACAUCAGCAAAGCUUUGAAACCCACAGGCUCAGGAAACUGCUCAUCAUUACAGCUGAGAAAAGACUCACAGCACGUAGGUAGUCAGUAAAGUUUCCAUACCACGAGAGAUGGGUGCAUUUCAGGUUUGUGGGUAUUUGUCAGCUGUGACCAGGGCUGUCCUCAUCAUCGAGUGUCUGCUGAUGGGUGUGAGAGGAGAUGGAGCAGCCUCUGAAGAAAAAGUAGAUAUUAAGUAUGCUUUAAUCGGAGCUGGGAUUGGCCUGUUCAUAGUUGCUGGUUUCAUUAUUGUCAAGGUCUGCAUCAUCAGGAAGCAGUCAUUGAUAACAACACAGAUGGUAGAAUGAGGAGAUCUUCAGAGACAUGAAGAUGGACCCUAAAUAUUUUGUAAUGACACACAAAAAAAAUUUGAUUUCUUGUAUUUUGUUAGUUUAAGGACACAUGUUCGUAUCAAAAAGUACCGGUUCCUAUAACCUUUAUUUACUCUCAACCACAGCCUCACUCACUUUGAGCCAUCUCAGCCAACCAGAACAUCCUGUGGCGGCGGUGUCCAAUGACAUGAAGUGUUAGAGUUCAGGCAGAGUGAUUUGCAGGAUGAUGUGAACCCUGCAAAAGUGGCAUCUGGGUGAAAAGUCAGCCAGGCGCCUUUUUCCCCCCUUAGGUUUUGUCGCACAAACAUCAACAUUGUUCCUCAAUUACAUGUUUCAUGAUGGUUUUCAUAAUAAAUAUCCAAAGAGAAUUAAUGUAACUUUUA